rnacentral:rRNA from 1 species
UACAGAGGUCCCAAGCGUUGUUCGGAUUCAUUGGGCGUAAAGGGUGCGUAGGCGGCGCGGUAAGUCGGGUGUGAAAUCUCGGGGCUUAACUCCGAAACUGCAUUCGAUACUGCCGUGCUUGAGGACUGGAGAGGAGACUGGAAUUUACGGUGUAGCGGUGAAAUGCGUAGAUAUCGUAAGGAAGACCAGUGGCGAAGGCGGGUCUCUGGACAGUUCCUGACGCUGAGGGAGCGAAAGCCAGGGGAGCAAACGGG